AACGAACGCUGGCGGCAGGCUUAACACAUGCAAGUCGAACGCCCCGCAAGGGGAGUGGCAGACGGGUGAGUAACGCGUGGGAACGUGCCCUUCGCUUCGGAAUAGCCCCGGGAAACUGGGAGUAAUACCGGAUACGCCGUAUUGGGAAAGAUUUAUCGGCGAAGGAUCGGCCCGCGUUAGAUUAGCUAGUUGGCGGUGUAAUGGACCACCAAGGCUACGAUCUAUAGCUGGUCUGAGAGGAUGAUCAGCCACACUGGGACUGAGACACGGCCCAGACUCCUACGGGAGGCAGCAGUGGGGAAUCUUGGACAAUGGGCGCAACCCUGAUCCAGCGAUGCCGCGUGGGUGAAGAAGGCC
rnacentral:rRNA from 1 species